UAUUUGGAGUGUAGCCAAGUGGUAAGGCAUCGGUCCUUCGUGCCGAGAAACAGAGGUUCAAAUCCUUUCACUCCAGGC